rnacentral:rRNA from 1 species
AUUGAACGCUGGCGGCAGGCUUAACACAUGCAAGUCGAGCGAGCGGCGGACGGGUGAGUAAUGUCUGGGAAACUGCCUGAUGGAGGGGGAUAACUACUUGAAACGGUAGCUAAUACCGCAUACCAUCAGAUGUGCCCAGAUGGGAUUGGCUAGUCGGUGGUGUAAUUGCUCACCUAGGCGACUAUCCCUAGCUGGUCUGAGAGGAUGAUCAGCCACACUGGAACGUAGACAGGGUACGGAGUCCUACGUGAGGCAGCAGUGGGGAAGAUUGCACAAUGGGCGGAAGCCUGACGCAGCCAUGCCCCGUGGGGGAAGAAGGCCCUCGGGUUGUAAAGCACUUUCAGCGAGGAGGAGUUACUCGCAGAAGAAGCACCGGCUAACUCCGUGCCAGCAGCCGCGGUAAUUC